UACGUAGGGUGCGAGCGUUAAUCGGAAUUACUGGGCGUAAAGCGUGCGCAGGCGGUUUUGUAAGCCAGAUGUGAAAGCCCCGGGCUUAACCUGGGAAUGGCAUUUGGGACUGCAAGGCUUGAGUGCGGCAGAGGAGACUGGAAUUCCUGGUGUAGCAGUGAAAUGCGUAGAUAUCAGGAGGAAUACCGAUGGCGAAGGCAGGUCUCUGGGCUGACACUGACGCUCAUGCACGAAAGCGUGGGGGGCAAACAGG
rnacentral:rRNA from 1 species